rnacentral:rRNA from 1 species
CCUACGGGAGGCAGCAGUGAGGAAUAUUGGUCAAUGGACGAGAGUCUGAACCAGCCAAGUAGCGUGAAGGAUGACUGCCCUAUGGGUUGUAAACUUCUUUUAUAUGGGAAUAAAACGUUCCACGUGUGGGAUUUGGUAUGUACCAUAUGAAUAAGGAUCGGCUAACUCCGUGCCAGCAGCCGCGGUAAUACGGAGGAUCCGAGCGUUAUCCGGAUUUAUUGGGUUUAAAGGGAGCGUAGAUGGGUUGUUAAGUCAGUUGUGAAAGUUUGGGGCUCAACCGUAAAAUUGCAAUUGAUACUGGCAGUCUUGAGUACAGUAGAGGUAGGCGGAAUUCGUGGUGUAGCGGUGAAAUGCUUAGAUAUCACGAAGAACACCGAUUGCGAAGGCAGCUUCCUAAACUGCCACUGACAUUGAUGCUCGAAAGUGUGGGUAUCAAACAGGAUUAGAUACCCGGGUAGUC